CAGUAAAAACACACAGCUGAUGCUACAUUCCCUGGGAAGAGGGCACAGAGCACAGAGCCUGUCAUUGUGUCUAAAGAUACUUGAGAAUUUAAUCUGCAGAGCCUCACAUCCCUGGAAAUGUGAAACGUUUGGGAAAAAGCUGCUGUUGACUGUGCUCUUUACAAGGGAAAAUACAGGUUUGAUCUGAAGAUUGAAGACUGAAUUUAAGAAGUUGGGAAGAUCCAGAAUGGCUUUGGAAGCAGAAGAGUUACUUUGGAAGCAGAAGCAGUUAUGUUGAGUGAAAAUGGAAGUGCAGUGUCAGUGCACAAGAAUGGAAAACGACAGGAGAAUGACGGAGCCUCUGACAGCACUCAGAACCUGAGCUUCUGGUUCUUCUGUUAAGACCAUGAAUGAACUCAGAACAGAGUUGCAGAUGGGAUGCCCAACAUGACUUGCAUGUGUGUAAGCCUAGUGAAAGGCCUUGUGAAGUAAAAUAACUAUAAAUCAGCAAAUCAUAAUUAUGAAUCAGUGAAAUGUAACAAAGGUAGAGCUCAUGAGGAAGAAUGUCUGAGAAAAUGCUUCAUUUAUGUAAUUUCCAAGUCUUUAAAAAUAUAAUUUUUGUGCAGGUCUGCUAGACACAUACAGUUCCAGUGGUUUCUGCUUUAUCUUGUCUGCUGUUUCCUUUAGUCUUCUGAAUGUCUGAUGACCUCCAGGUUCUCUGUGUUCCAGGUGAAGUCCCUGUCUCCAGGGAGUGUGGUGUGGUGUGCCAUGACCAAAUGAAAAUCUCCUUUGAAUGCUUCUCAUUAAAAAUAUAGCUGUACCAACAGAAAACAGAGAUGGGAGAAACUCUAAGGCUCAUAAUAUUUUAAAAUUUUGGCAGUUAUUUAAUCUUAUGUUGAAAAUCAUCCACG